CCAGAGGGCCGGGCGGCCGCGGGGGAGUUGCUCCUCCGAGGAAAGUCCGGGCUCCAUGGAACCACGGUGCCGGGUAACGCCCGGCGGUGCGCCAUUGCCUCGGCGAAGGCGCAUCAGGGACAGUGCCACAGAAAGGACACCGCCGCUCUUCGGCGCGGCAAGGUCGAAAGGGUGCGGCAAGAGCGCACCGCGGUCCUGGCGACAGGGCCGGCACGGUAAACCCCACCGGGUGCAAGACCGAAUAGGGAUGCCAUAUGGGCUUGGUUCCGGCUCGGCAUCCGGGUUGGUUGCUUGAGGGGCGGGGCGACCCGUCUCCUAGAGGAAUGGCCGCACAGUCACGCUUCAAUGAAGCGCGAUGGACAGAACCCGGCUUACAGGCCCUCUGGCAUU
rnacentral:RNase_P_RNA from 1 species